rnacentral:tRNA from 1 species
GCCUGGAUGGCUCAGUCAGUUGAGCGUCCGACUUCAGCUCGGGUCAUGAUCUCACAGUCUGUGAGUUCGAGCCCCGCGUCGGGCU